UUCAAUGCAGUUUUCUAAUGAUGGAUGUAGGAGAAAUAAGGAGAAAUGCACCCCAGCAGGUACACUGAGUA
rnacentral:lncRNA from 1 species